rnacentral:rRNA from 1 species
UACGGGGGGGGCAAGCGUUGUUCGGAAUUACUGGGCGUAAAGGGCGCGUAGGCGGUUCGCUAAGUUGGAUGUGAAAACUCUGGGCUCAACCCAGAGCCUGCAUCCAAAACUGGCGGGCUAGAGUUCUGGAGGGGGUAGCGGAAUUCCUGGUGUAGCGGUGAAAUGCGUAGAUAUCAGGAGGAACACCGGUGGCGAAGGCGGCUUCCUGGCCUGUUCUUGACGCUGAGGCGCGAAAGCUAGGGGAGCAAACGGG